rnacentral:rRNA from 1 species
CGAACGCUGGCGGCGUGCUUAACACAUGCAAGUCGAACGCGAAAGGGACUUCGGUCCUGAGUAGAGUGGCGCACGGGUGAGUAACGCGUAGAUAACCUGUCUUCAUGUCUGGAAUAAUACGCCGAAAGGGGUACUAAUACCGGAUAUUCUUGCUUUUCAUAAGUUAUGCAAGCAAAGGUGGCCUCUGCAUAUGCUACUGCAUGAAGAGGGGUCUGCGUACCAUUAGCUAGUAGGUGGGGUAAUGGCCUACCUAGGCGACGAUGGUUAGCGGGUCUGAGAGGAUGAUCCGCCACACUGGCACUGGAACACGGGCCAGACUCCUACGGGAGGCAGCAGUGAGGAAUAUUGCGCAAUGGGGGAAACCCUGACGCAGCGACGCCGCGUGAGUGAAGGAAGGCCUUCGGGUCGUAAAGCUCUGUCAAGAGGAAAGAAGUGUACAAUGGCUAAUACCUGUUGUAUUUGACGGUACCUCUAAAGGAAGCACCGGCUAACUCCGUGCCAGCAGCCGC